rnacentral:misc_RNA from 1 species
AAAACUCAAGAUUUGGAGCACUAGUAGACAAGUCUGGAAUCCUGAUCAGGUGCUCAGAGUAGCUGAGAUCUAUUAAUUUCAAAUUUCCAAGCGACUUAUCUCCAUUCCAGAGUUGUAUGAGUUUGCUAGAACGCAUAUGAAGUUGUACAAGAUUCUUGGGGAAAAAAUUUAAUGGCAAUGAUGUCAAAGGGUAAUAAUUCCAAUAAAGAUAUCUUAGCUCUUGUGGA